GCUUACGUCUGGAAUUACAACAUUUAUUUGAAACCCAACACCACUGCUGGAGCCAUGCAAGUCACCCAUAAUGGAAAAGAUCAUCAGAUCCUUAACGGUUGCCCUGACUGGGCAUAUGAGGAGGAGGUUUUCUCAUCCAUUGAGGCAAUAUGGUGGUCACCAACUGGAAAGUGUCUGUCUUAUGUUGAUUUUAAUGACACAAUCAACUUCUUUUUGUAUGGAUAUGGACAAUACCUCACGGUGGUUGUCCCAUACCCUAAGGUGGGAUGUUGUAAUAUGUGCCCUUUUUAAAACAUGGUAUGAAUGUCAUAAGAAUGAUAUAUAUACCAAAGACAGCAGGUAAGCAGUAUACCGUGAUCACACAUUAUGUGUGUGUUGUACAUUGUACAGAGUAAAUACAGUAUUUGAAGUACAGUGGGGCAAAAAGUAUUUAGUCAGCCACCAAUUGUGCAAGUUCUCCCACUUAAAAAGAUGAGAGAGGCCUGUAAUUUUUAUCAUAGGUACACUUCAACUAUGACAGACAAAAUGUGGGGAAAAAAUCCAGAAAAUCACAUUGUAGGAUUUUUAAUGAAUUUAUUUGCAAAUUAUGGUGGAAAAUAAGUAUUUGGUCAAUAACAAAAGUUUAUCUCAAUACUUUGUUAUAUACCCUUUGUUGGCAAUGACAGAGGUCAAACGUUUUCUGUAAAUCUUCACAAGGUUUUCACACACUGUUGCUGGUAUUUUGGCCCAUUCCUCCAUGCAGAUCUCCUCUAGAGCAGUGAUGUUUUGGGGCUGUUGCUGGGCAACACGGACUUUCAACUCCCUCCAAGAUUUUCUAUGGGGUUGAGAUCUGGAGACUGGCUAGGCCACUCCAGGACCUUGAAAUGCUUCUUACGAAGCCACUCCUUYGUUGCCCGGGCGGUGUGUUUGGGAUCAUUGUCAUGCUGAAAGACCCAGCCACGUUUCAUCUUCAAUGCCCUUGCUGAUGGAAGGAGGUUUUUACUCAAAAUCUCACGAUACAUGGCCCCAUUCAUUCUUUCCUUUACACGGAUCAGUCGUCCUGGUCCGUUUGCAGAAAAACAGCCCCAAAGCAUGAUGUUUCCACCCCCAUGCUUCACAGUAGGUAUGGUGUUCUUUGGAUGCAACUCAGCAUUCUUUGUCCUCCAAACACGAAAGUUAUAUUUUGGUUUUGUCUGACCAUAUGACAUUCUCCCAAUCUUCUUCUGGAUCAUCCAAAUGCUCUCUAGCAAACUUCAGAUGGGCCUGGACAUGUACUGGCUGAAGCAGGGGGACACGUCUGGCACUGCAGGAUUUGAGUCCCUGGCGGCGUAGUGUGUUACUGAUGGUAGGCUGUGUUACGUUGGUCCCAGCUCUCUGCAGGUCAUUCACUAGGUCCCCCCGUGUGGUUCUGGGAUUUUUGCCCUCCGUUCUUGUAAUCAUUUUGACCCCACGGUGUGAGAUCUUGCAUGGAGCCCCAGAUCGAGGGAGAUUAUCAGUGGUCUUGUAUGUCUUCCAUUUCCUAAUAAUUGCUCCCACAGUUGAUUUCUUCAAACCAAGCUGCUUACCUAUUGCAGAUUCAGUCUUCCCAGCCUGAUGCAGUUCUACAAUUUUGUUUCUGGUGUCAUUUGACAGCUCUUUGGUCUUGGCCAUAGUGGAGUUUGGAGUGUGACUGUUUGAGGUUGUGGACAGGUGUCUUUUAUACUGAUAACAAGUUCAAACAGGAGCCAUUAAUACAGGUAACGAGUGGAGGACAGAGGAGCCUCUUAAAGAAGAAGUUACAGGUCUGUGAGAGACAGAAAUCUUGCUUGUUUGUAGGUGACCAAAUACUUAUUUUCCACCAUAAUUUGCAAAUAAAUUCAUAAAAAAUCCUACAAUGUGAUUUUCUGAAGAAAAAAAUUAUUGUUUUGUAGGUCAUAGUUGAAGUGUACCUAUGAUGAAAAUUAAAGGCCUCUCUCAUCUUUUUAAGUGG
ensembl:lncRNA